rnacentral:lncRNA from 1 species
UUUUACUAUAAGCAGCAAGCUAUGAGGCAGUACCCUCAACAGUCUUGGCUAACAGUCCUUAGCCCAAUUACCUAGUUCACUAGUGACAUUCUCUAGUUUCCACAAAACCACAGCUGACAGUGUUGCUAACUACAUAAUAAGAAUAUAUAAUAAGAAUUACAUAGUAACUACAUAGUAAGAAUCUUCCUUCCUCCAGUUUCCAAUAACAUGCUCCUCAUUUACUUUUAAGUCCUCACCAGCAGUCUCUUCAAUGUCCUUCCAGCUCCUACCAAUUGCUCAGUUCCAAAACCAUUCCUAAAUUUUAAGUUUUUAUUAUGGCAGCCUCCCACUUCUAAAUACCGAAGUCUUUAUUAGUUAUCUAUUGCUUUAUAAAGAAUUACCCAACGCUUAGCAGCUUAAACUUUUUUUUUUUUCCUCCGUGCAGUUUCUGAGGGCCAGGAACCUGGGUGGUUCUGGCUUAGGGCCUUCCAUAGGUUGUAGCCAAGUUGCUGGCCAGGGCUGCAGUUAUGAUUUGACUGGGGAUGGAGGAUUCACCUCUAACAUGGCAUCUUUCAUGUGGCUGUUGGCUAGAGGCUCAGUUCCUCACUGACUAUUGUCAGGAGGCCACAGUUCCUUGUCACAAGAGACUCCAGAAGGCUACUUGGCAUAACAGCUGGCUUCCCUCAAAAGAAACUAUUCUAAAGAGAGUGACCAAGAGGGAAGUAACAAUGCCUUUUAUGAUCUAGUCUCUGUAUUCACACAUGAUCACUUCUUCUUUAUUCUAUUGGUCAUACAAACCAAUCCAGACACACAGGGACUAACAAGGAUAUGAACACCAGCAGAUGAAGAUCAUCAGUACCAUCUUGGAGGCUGGCUACCACAACAAAUUAGACCUUUACGAGAAGCACAGUUUUGUCUUCAGUUUCCUCUCCCCCCACCCGGAAUGGCCUGAGCCGAAGCCAGCUCCCUCCGAGAAGUCAUUACCGCCUGACUUGCGUUUGAUAUUUAGACACCUUGGUCACAACAUCUUGCAUUCUCUCGGGAUGCUGAUUUCUAACUGCUCUUUGGCCUUUCCUGCAUUGGUCCUCCUCAGGCAGGGGAUCCCUGCUCUUCUAUAUUAGUGAGAAAACCAAGGCUCAGAGAAACUGUGGAUUUUCUAAGGAUGCUGGCUCCCCGUCCCCUGUCCACCAUGAGUCAAAGCAAUGUGAGUCCCUCACCAGAUGCAACUGCCCAGUCUUGGACUUUCCAGUGACCAGAAUCAUGAGCCAAAUAAACCUCUUUUCUUUAUGAA